UGCGUGGCACCACAAGGGCCAGUGCACCCUCACUCUCUGUGGGGAAGCCAUGCAGCCCCCCCUCCACAGUAUCCCUGUCAAGUGCCGAACGCCGCGCUUCCGGUGGCGACACGGUCAAGCACCCACGGUGUGAGGGGGUCAGAGCGGUGCAUCGCCACGGGCAUGCCGGCGGUCAGGUCGUGGAUCGGCGUUGCGUUGGAGCGACCUGCGGCAGCGAACACGUGUGUACCGCGCAUAUAGCAUGGCAGCGUGAAUCGAGCUCAUCCCGCCUGGCCCUCACGCUGCCUACAGAGGUGGAGAGAGGGGGGGAGCCCGAGUGCCACCCCGAGGGGGAUGCAUCGAAUGGCGAGCGGCAUAGCGGCCGCGGCUGUGAGGCGACCUGAAGAGCGCGUGUGGGUGGGUGUGGUGUGUGAGGCAGGGGCCGUGCUCCGAUGAAUGCGCCGGCGCAUUGCUGUACCGUGCGCGCCUGCGGCUGCGUGGCACCACGCGAUGGGGAGGGAGGGGGGCUGCGGCGUGGCCGCGCGUGUGCAGAGUGAUGUGUAACUAAUUCUUAAGAGGUGAUGCGAAGACGUCAGCAACUCUCUUCCCUCCUCCCUUUCUUAAACCUGUUUCCCUCUCCGCGCUUCCUUCCGUCCUCUAUUAUUGCGUUUGGCUGCGUUGAUGCACAGUGCAUCCAUCAACACACCACCUACGGUGGAAAAAGACG
rnacentral:misc_RNA from 1 species